rnacentral:lncRNA from 11 species
AUAACAGUGCUGACCACAGCCUUCCCGGAUGUUACAGAAGCUCCAGAACAGGAGGAAGGGGAAGAGGAGCAAGAGGAAGAGGACGACGACGACCUGCUGGCCAUCGCGGAGGAGGCUGCCUUGCUCCAGGCUGACCGGCUGCUGGACAGUGAUGAUGCGGAUCGGCCCCGCCAGCGCCAGCCCCGAAGGGACGCGGCUCAGCUAGGCGACCUCUUCCUGGCCAUGCAGCUGGACAACAAGGAGGCGGAGGGGCCGGAGAAGGAGGGCCAGUGGCAGAUGCAGCCUGGCCAGAAAAAGAAGCUGAAGCAGCGGGUGAAGAAGGAGCUGGAGAAGCCGGAGGGGAUGAGCGCCGAGGAGGCGGAGGCCGUUCGGGACGUCUGGCGCCUGCCCUUGGCCUCUCGUUGGCACCUCUACAGGUAACCCUGCUCUCAAGACACCUGGGAGGUCGGGGAUUCC